rnacentral:rRNA from 1 species
UACAGGGGGUGCGAGCGUUAAUCGGAAUUACUGGGCGUAAAGGGCGCGUAGGCGGUUGGAUAAGUUGUAUGUGAAAUCCCUGGGCUUAACCUAGGAACUGCAUGCAAGACUGUUUGACUAGAGUGCUGUAGAGGGUAGUGGAAUUUCCGGUGUAGCGGUGAAAUGCGUAGAUAUCGGAAGGAACACCAGUGGCGAAGGCGGCUACCUGGACAGACACUGACGCUGAGGCGCGAGAGCGUGGGGAGCAAACAGG